UCUGCUCAGGAUGAACGCUGCCGGCGUGCCUAAUACAUGCAAGUCGAACGAGUUCUCGUUGAUGAUCGGUGCUUGCACCGAGAUUCAACAUGGAACGAGUGGCGGACGGGUGAGUAACACGUGGGUAACCUGCCCUUAAGUGGGGGAUAACAUUUGGAAACAGAUGCUAAUACCGCAUAGAUCCAAGAACCGCAUGGUUCUUGGCUGAAAGAUGGCGUAAGCUAUCGCUUUUGGAUGGACCCGCGGCGUAUUAGCUAGUUGGUGAGGUAAUGGCUCACCAAGGCGAUGAUACGUAGCCGAACUGAGAGGUUGAUCGGCCACAUUGGGACUGAGACACGGCCCAAACUCCUACGGGAGGCAGCAGUAGGGAAUCUUCCACAAUGGACGCAAGUCUGAUGGAGCAACGCCGCGUGAGUGAAGAAGGCUUUCGGGUCGUAAAACUCUGUUGUUGGAGAAGAAUGGUCGGCAGAGUAACUGUUGUCGGCGUGACGGUAUCCAACCAGAAAGCCACGGCUAACUACGUGCCAGCAGCCGCGGUAAUACGUAGGUGGCAAGCGUUAUCCGGAUUUAUUGGGCGUAAAGCGAGCGCAGGCGGUUUUUUAAGUCUGAUGUGAAAGCCCUCGGCUUAACCGAGGAAGCGCAUCGGAAACUGGGAAACUUGAGUGCAGAAGAGGACAGUGGAACUCCAUGUGUAGCGGUGAAAUGCGUAGAUAUAUGGAAGAACACCAGUGGCGAAGGCGGCUGUCUGGUCUGUAACUGACGCUGAGGCUCGAAAGCAUGGGUAGCGAACAGGAUUAGAUACCCUGGUAGUCCAUGCCGUAAACGAUGAAUGCUAGGUGUUGGAGGGUUUCCGCCCUUCAGUGCCGCAGCUAACGCAUUAAGCAUUCCGCCUGGGGAGUACGACCGCAAGGUUGAAACUCAAAGGAAUUGACGGGGGCCCGCACAAGCGGUGGAGCAUGUGGUUUAAUUCGAAGCAACGCGAAGAACCUUACCAGGUCUUGACAUCUUUUGAUCACCUGAGAGAUCAGGUUUCCCCUUCGGGGGCAAAAUGACAGGUGGUGCAUGGUUGUCGUCAGCUCGUGUCGUGAGAUGUUGGGUUAAGUCCCGCAACGAGCGCAACCCUUAUGACUAGUUGCCAGCAUUUAGUUGGGCACUCUAGUAAGACUGCCGGUGACAAACCGGAGGAAGGUGGGGAUGACGUCAAAUCAUCAUGCCCCUUAUGACCUGGGCUACACACGUGCUACAAUGGAUGGUACAACGAGUUGCGAGACCGCGAGGUCAAGCUAAUCUCUUAAAGCCAUUCUCAGUUCGGACUGUAGGCUGCAACUCGCCUACACGAAGUCGGAAUCGCUAGUAAUCGCGGAUCAGCACGCCGCGGUGAAUACGUUCCCGGGCCUUGUACACACCGCCCGUCACACCAUGAGAGUUUGUAACACCCGAAGCCGGUGGCGUAACCCUUUUAGGGAGCGAGCCGUCUAAGGUGGGACAAAUGAUUAGGGUGAAGUCGUACAGG
rnacentral:rRNA from 2 species